rnacentral:tRNA from 2 species
GCCAGCCAUUGUCGAGGGUGCGUCCGCUGUGGCCUCUGCCUCCAGCCAGGACGGCGGUGUGAGUCUUGAGUCGCGGCUCAGGUCCGGGUGGCAGGCU